rnacentral:lncRNA from 1 species
AGACCAAGGAAAGAGAAGUGGGAGGAGCGGGGAGCUCGGCGUCCCGCGUCCUCCGCGGCUCAGGACGACUACGCUCGGCACGUCCGGGACCCUCCGGCCGUGGCGGUUGCAGCGCCAAAAGCUCGGGCCUCAGCCCCUGCCGCUGUGGUGACUCCGCCGCGCCUCGCCGUCGCUCCUGUCCCCGUCCUGCCCGCCGCCUCCGCCGCUGGGGACAUGUCCAACCCCGGAAGCCGGAGGAACGGGCCUGUCAAGCUGCACCUGACAGGUAUAUUGAAAAGUCUGAUUCAGUUACAAUCAGUGUAUGGAAUCACAAGAAGAUCCAUAAGAAACAAGGUGCUGGAUUUCUCCGUUGUGUUCAUCUUCUUUCCAGUGCCAUCAACCACCUCAAAGACACUGGUUAUCAGAGGUUGGAUUUAUGCAAACCUGGGCCAAAGGACAGUUAGAAGACGUAAGUCUUCAGUCCAGAGACCAAAUUGGCACAGGAGGACAAGUUGUGGACUGCAGUCAUUUAUUUGAUAAUGAUUUACCAGACAACCUCAUCUAGUUGAAUCUGAAGAUGUGGACCUGCUGAUGAAGAGGGCUGAUUGUAUCUAACUUAGGGUCUUGCAUGCAGCUGGCACUUAAUGCAUUUUAUUGACUGUUUUAGCUAACAUUCAAUGGACAAUUCCUAAUAAAAAAUUCUUAAAAGUAUGAAAAAGUGCAAGAUGUGCUUUGUUAAACAGAUGCUUGAAGGCAG